rnacentral:lncRNA from 1 species
AAACCUUCGCUCAUCGGGGGCAUAGUGUAGUCGAAUCUUCGUUGUUGAGUUAACGUUUGUCAAAUGGAACUCAAACUUCAUGUACAACCACAUAAACUGUUUAAGGCACGAAUAUAAAUUGAAAACAAAUUUGAAAAAUUUCGUUACCUUAUUCUCCAAAACAGAUUUGGACAAAUUCAAGGAUUUUACACAAGGUAAAUCAAGAGAAUAACAAAUCACGCUUCCUUUCGUAAUGACUUUAUCAACCACAAUCGAAGAGUAACAAUUAAUCGGAUCAAAAUGAGAGGAUCUUUUAAGAACUAAGUCACCAAAAUUUUUAUCAAUAAUUUUCAAAUCUGCACUGGACUCGGUUUCUAAAAUUUCCUUACCUCGCUUACCUUCGGGAUCAUGUAGUGUGAUUUCAUCUUUGCCUAAGUUGAUCGUAUGAAAGCGUCUUUCAUUUGAGAGGUAUUGAAGUUGAAAGUUAUCUUUCGAUCUUUCGGGAACCUGAAAAGUAGCAACACAAGAAAAAAUCAUAUCUUGGUUAGUGGAAACAUUCCUCACUACCCUUUCCACGUCUUUUUCUUUUGUUUCUUUUUCUAAUUCAUUUUCUCUUCUUUCUUCAAUUUCUUUUUCACUCUCAAUCUCUUUUUGCUCUUUUUCAUUCUCUUUUUCUUUUUCCUCACUUGUUUUAACAGAAUUUUUCAGUUUGAUUUGGUCCUCAUGGACUUGUUCCGGAGUGAGCGGCACUAAGGUGAGUUUCUUUCCUUGAUGCUUGAAAGAAUACCUAUUGGUACGACCAUCGUGAGUGACUUUUCGAUCCAGUUGCCAUGGUUCUCCUAGCAACAAAUGGCAGGCUUGAAUAGGUACUACGUCGCACACGACUUCGUCUUGAUAUUUACCGAUAGAAAAGGCGAUGCGCACUUGUUGAGUGACCUUAAAUUGGCUUUCGUUGCUAAGCCCUUGUAGUUGAUAAGGUCGUGGAUGCUUGGUAGUGCUUAAGCAAAGCUUUUCCACCAUCGUCGUGCUGGCUACGUUCGAGCAACUUUCACCAUCAAUAAUAACUCUACAAAGCUUACCUUGUACAUGGCAGCGAGUAUGAAAGAGAUGUUCUCGUUGCUGCUCGCUCUUUGGUUUUGCCAAAGAAGGUUGUCCACGAUCAUGAAAAUCAUCAUCCAUUCUAGGGACACGUUGAGGGUUGCACCUAUGGGGCUGGUUAUCCCUAUCUUCCUUAAUUAGAUCUCGAUAUUGAUGUUUUUGAUUCACUCGCACCUUAUUGAUAGUAGCAGUCAACGCUCGAAGUGCAACAGCCUGUUCGUCCAACUGUUGUUGGAAUUUUUUAAAUAUGUCACUAUUAUUAUCACCUGUAGACAUUUUUUUUUAAAACCUGCAAAACACUCAACACUCAAAAAUAAAAGUUAUCAAACCUCACCGUUAAUCACUCAAAAAGAAAAAAAUCAAAUUCUCAAUGAGGUCGAAUUCAAUCUUGUGAGUUCUUUAUCAGAGUUUAUAUCAACCAAUUAGAGAGUCUGAACCAAACUACCAAAGAAUCCUAAUUUGCACUAGGAUGCCAAAAACUGACGAGACACCAAUUGAUUCGUGUUGCACCGAGGAAGAAGUUGUGCACACGUUUAAAUCCUACUAACACAAGAAACAAGAAGGUGUUAGAUAACGUAAAGGAAGAAUAAAGGUAAACAAAUGAAAACCUACAGCUAAGAAUCAAUAAAAAUUGCUGAAAACAGAAAACCCGAAAAACUGCGGAGUAACUUGACAACUUCGUUCGAGGUGUUCCCGAUCUCAAAAAAUCACAAAAUUAAAUCUGGAAUGUCUUCAAAUAUUGAAUUUUUGAUCUGGAAAAUUUGGGCACCAAAUUCAACCCGCUGAAUAUUUUUUUAAUUUUUUAUUGGAUUUCGUCUUUUUUCAAUUUUUUGACUUUUUCGACUUAUUUUUUUUUGCGGUAAAUAUUUUUGUAUAUUCAAUAACAGUGCCAAAAAUAUGUAUGUAAAAUUUCAGAUCAAUCAGAAAACGUUUACCCACUCAAAUGAAUUUUUUUUCGAAAAUUUUUCUGGGUAAAACUGCUGUUGUAAUUUAAAAAAUAGAGAUCAGUUUAGAAAUCAACCAAGAACACCCAAAACGCCCAAAAUCUGAUACCAAAUGAUACGGGGUUGCGCGCGGACCAAGAUCGAGUUGCCAAGUCACGAGAAACUCCUACGAAAACCCUAAACAAUUAGAUCUGAAACGAAACAGAAAAUUAAAAGAUUAAAUUUUUGAAUUUUCAGAUCUGAAAUAAAAUCCCCAAAUCAGCAAAGAAUCAAAUUGAGAAUAGAAAUAAGUGUUAGGGUUCUUGAAACCCUCAAGGAGAUUGUGAUUCUGCCCAAUUGAACACCAAGAUAGUUUUCCCCAAAUUUCGACAAUCUAAUUUCACCCAAAAAGAGUAUGGAAAAACCCUAGAAAUUGGGGAUUUUUGGGCUGAUUCCUUAAGAUAGAAAAAGGCUGAAAACACAAUAAGAACAGAAAAUAGAUUAGAUAAUGAUUCAGCACAAGUAGAAAUAAAGAAAGAAUUGACAGUAAGAAAUUAAAAGAUAAGUCCUAAGAAGCCUUGAAAUCUCGAAAGAUCUCACAACUCCCUUCAAACGGCUCUAAUCUCCCCUCCAAAGAAUAUCAAUGGCAAGAAGAAGGUUGAAGAUGGCUCCCACAAUCACAAGAUUGUUAAAACAACUUCUAAAGAAAACUCAAGAGAGAAAUCUUGGAGAAAACUCAAAGAAAAUUCUGCUCUCAACAAAUCUGAAAUUUUAAUAAUAAUGAUAAGUGUUUAACAAGGUGGACAGCCAUGCCUUUAAAUAGGCAUUAUAACUAGUCCUAAUCUAAUUAGAAAACUAAAAUAAAAAAAAACUCCUAAUUAUUUUAAUAUGGAAAUUCGGUCAAAGGUCAUUUUAUCUGGGACUCUUGGACUGAAUAUUGACAUAAAAAUUUAAACUAAGUAAAUAAAUAAAUAAAUAAAUAAAAAUAAAAAUAAAACUUUACAACUUGGGCCACUUUGACAAUUUGGCCUGAUUUUCAACUAAGUAUGGAUGGAUUUCUUGAUUGGGCUGGGAAUUUGCUUAUUGGGCCUCGCCUUCAAGAAUUUGGGCUUUUGUGACUCGUAUCAGUUUAUUUUUUACAGUUUUGAAGAUGUCUAAAGGUGAUAAUAAUGAUGCACUUAUGAAAGUCCAACAACAGUUAGACAGACAUACUGCUGCAAUCACACAAAUAAAUGCUACACUUCAAGCAUUGAAUACUACUUUGAAUGAGGUACGAGUGAAUCAAAAAUAUCAAUAUCGAGAUCCAAUUAAGGAAGAUAGGGAUAACCAGCCCCAUAGGUGCAGCCCUCAACGUGUCCCUAGAAUGGAUGAUGAUUUUAAUGAUCGUGGACAAUCAUCUUUGGUAAAACCAAAGAGCGAGCAGCAACGAGAACAUCUCUUUCAUACUCGCUGUCAUGUACAAUGUAAGCUUUGUAGAGUUAUUAUUGAUUGUGAAAGUUGCUCAAACAUAGCCAGCACGACGAUGGUGGAAAAGCUUUGCUUAACCACUACCAAGCAUCCACAACCUUAUCAACUACAAGGGCUUAGCAACGAAGGCCAAUUUAGAGUCACUCAACAAGUGCGCAUCGCCUUUUCUAUCGGUAAGUAUCAAGACGAAGUUGUGUGCGACGUAAUGCCUAUUCAAGCCUGCCAUUUGUUGCUAGGAGAACCAUGGCAAUUGGAUCGAAAAGUCACUCACGAUGGUCGUACCAAUAGGUAUUCUUUCAAGCAUCAAGGAAAGAAACUCACCUUAGUGCCGCUCACUCCGGAACAAGUCUAUGAGGACCAAAUCAAACUGAAAAAUUCUGUUAAAACAAGUGAGGAAAAAGAAAAAGAGAAUGAAAAAGAGCAAAAAGAGAUUGAGAAUGAAAAAGAAAUUGAAGAAAGAAGAGAAAAUGAAUUAGAAAAAGAAACAAAAGAAAAAGACGUGGAAAGGGUAGUGAGGAAUGUUUCCACUAACCAAUAUAUGAAUUUUUCUUGUGUUGCUACUUUUCAGGUUCCCGAAAGAUCGAAAGAUAACUUUCAACUUCAAUACCUCUCAAAUGAAAGACGCUUUCAUACGAUCAACUUAGGCAAAGAUGAAAUCACACUACAUGAUCCCGAAGGUAAGCGAGGUAAGGAAAUUUUAGAAACCGAGUCCAGUGCAGAUUUGAAAAUUAUUGAUAAAAUUUUUGGUGACUUAGUUCUUAAAAGAUCCUCUCAUUUUGAUCCGAUUAAUUGUUACUCUUCGAUUGUGGUUGAUAAAGUCAUUACGAAAAGAAGCGUGAUUUGUUAUUCUCUUGAUUUACCUUGUGUAAAAUCCUUGAAUUUGUCCAAAUCUGUUUUGGAGAAUAAAGUAACGAAAUUUUUCAAAUUUGUUUUCAAUUUAUAUUCGUGCCUUAAACAGUUUAUGUGGUUGUAAAUGAAGUUUGAGUUCCAUUUGACAAAGGUUAAUUCAACAACGGAUAUUCGACUACACUAUGCCCCCGAUGAGCGAAGGUUUGUUUUAAAUGAAAAAGGUAAAAUUGACCCUUAUUCUUCUGCUUAUCGAGGUAAGAUGCUUGAAACCUUUGAAACACUUUUGUACUCCUCGGAUAGUGAUAAAGAUCGUGUUGAUGAACACUUAGAUCGAAACGUGCUUGACUGUCCUAUUUUAUUUAUUGAUGAUCUAUCUGUUUUGAUGGUUGAUAAAAAUAUUCUUGUUUUUGAUAAUGCAUGUGUGAGUGAAUCUAUAGACCGUCGAUUAAUGCAUGGUAUGAUUAUGCAACUCUGUGAACCAUGUGAAUCUUUUCAAAUACCUACUUGUG